UACAGAGGGUGCAAGCGUUAAUCGGAAUUACUGGGCGUAAAGCGGGCGUAGUCGGCUUUUCAAGUCGGGUGUGAAAGCCCCGGGCUCAACCUGGGAAUUGCAUUCGAUACUUGAUGGCUAGAGUUCGGCAGAGGGAAGUGGAAUUUCCGGUGUAGCGGUGAAAUGCGUAGAUAUCGGAAGGAACAUCAGUGGCGAAAGCUACUUCCUGGACCAGAACUUACGAUCAGGCACGAAAGCGUGGGGAGCAAACAGG
rnacentral:rRNA from 1 species